rnacentral:rRNA from 1 species
CCCUAGUAACGGCGAGUGAAGCGGCAACAGCUCAAAUUUGAAAUCUGGCGUCUUUGGCGUCCGAGUUGUAAUUUGCAGAGGGCGCUUUGGCAUUGGCAGCGGUCCAAGUUCCUUGGAACAGGACGUCACAGAGGGUGAGAAUCCCGUACGUGGUCGCUAGCCUUUACCGUGUAAAGCCCCUUCGACGAGUCGAGUUGUUUGGGAAUGCAGCUCUAAAUGGGAGGUAAAUUUCUUCUAAAGCUAAAUACUGGCCAGAGACCGAUAGCGCACAAGUAGAGUGAUCGAAAGAUGAAAAGCACUUUGGAAAGAGAGUUAAAAAGCACGUGAAAUUGUUGAAAGGGAAGCGCUUGCAGCCAGACUUGCCUGUAGUUGCUCAUCCGGGUUUCUACCCGGUGCACUCUUCUAUAGGCAGGCCAGCAUCAGUUUGGGCGGUUGGAUAAAGGUCUCUGUCAUGUACCUCCUUUCGGGGAGAACUUAUAGGGGAGACGACAUGCAACCAGCCUGGACUGAGGUCCGCGCAUCUGCUAGGAUGCUGGCGUAAUGGCUGUAAGCGGCCCGUCUUGAAACACGGACCAAGGAGUCUAACAUCUAUGCGAGUGUUUGGGUGUCAAGCCCGAGCGCGUAAUGAAAGUGAACGGAGGUGGGAACCUUUCGGGGUGCACCAUCGACCGAUCCUGAUGUCUUCGGAUGGAUUUGAGUAAGAGCAUAGCUGUUGGGACCCGAAAGAUGGUGAACUAUGCUUGAAUAGGGUGAAGCCAGAGGAAACUCUGGUGGAGGCUCGCAGCGGUUCUGACGUGCAAAUCGAUCGUCAAAUUUGGGCAUAGGGGCGAAAGACUAAUCGAACUAUCUAGUAGCUGGUUCCUGCCGAAGUUUCCCUCAGGAUAGCAGUAACGUUUUCAGUUUUAUGAGGUAAAGCGAAUGAUUAGAGGCAUGGGGGUUGAAACAACCUU